rnacentral:rRNA from 1 species
AUUGAACGCUGGCGGAAUGCUUUACACAUGCAAGUCGAACAGCAGCACGGACUUCGGUCUGGUGGCGAGUGGCGAACGGGUGAGUAAUGUAUCGGAACGUGCCCAGUCGUGGGGGAUAACGUAGUGAAAAUUACGCUAAUACCGCAUACGAUCUAUGGAUGAAAGCGGGGGAUCGCAAGACCUCGCGCGAUUGGAGCGGCCGAUAUCAGAUUAGGUAGUUGGUGGGGUAAAGGCCCACCAAGCCAACGAUCUGUAGCUGGUCUGAGAGGAUGACCAGCCACACUGGAACUGAGACACGGUCCAGACUCCUACGGGAGGCAGCAGUGGGGAAUUUUGGACAAUGGGCGAAAGCCUGAUCCAGCCAUUCCGCGUGCAGGAUGAAGGCCCUCGGGUUGUAAACUGCUUUUGUACAGAACGAAAGGGUUUCUACUAAUACUAGGAGCUCAUGACGGUACUGUAAGAAUAAGCACCGGCUAACUACGUGCCAGCCGCCGCAGUAA